GUUGUUCCCCAGGCCACCCCCACUGUAAAAAUAACAUCACCUUCAUUUAUUCUUCCCUUUUCUAUCCACGACAGAUGACUCAACAGCAGAGAGUGUUGGCCUCUCAGACGGGGCUAUCGUCGGCAUCGUGAUUGGAGUCCUGGUCGGGGUGGCUCUGAUAGCAGCCCUGGCGUACUUUCUGUACAGCAGAAAGACUGGAGGGGCAAGUGACCAGCGCGAUCACACAGAGCACAAACCCUCAGCCUCCAACUAAAGGUCACUCUGACAACUCGCCUAACCAGAUCGAUGAAGUUACAUAAUGUUCCCUGAACUUCAGUGCCCAGGAACCAAAGAGACCAACCUCAGCCUCCCUGUCCUCAACGGCCACAAAAAUGGUUUAUUCGGAAGUAAAAAAGAAAUAAUGCAACCUGCCCUGCUUACUGCACUGCUGACUGAUCCCAAGCUUCUCUUCUCUCACUAGGGGAUCCUUUUCCCCUCAGAGAGAAGGAGAAGCCUCUCUCCUCACUUCACUCCACAUGAGGCCCCUCCAGGCUGCCUGGUCAAGCUCCUCCCUUCAGAAUCAACAGAUGAAAAGGUACAUCCGGGAGUCUGUAGGAAGCCUACCCUUGUCAUUGAAAUCUGGCUAGUUAAUAUGUAUCAGAAUCAGCAAAUUCCAGAGAUGGUUCUUUAAAAAGCAAACUUCUGGCCAGAUUAUUAAGAAAAAUGAGAGCAGGCACAAUAAGCAAUAUUAAGGGUGAAAAAAAAGGAAACAAUGGCAGACAUUAGACAGCAGAAGGAUAUCACGAAUAUCCUUAUUGCAAAUAAUUUCAAAAGUUAGGAAUGAAUACCUAGAAAAAUAAAAUGAAUCCGGAACUGAGUCAAGGAGAAAAUAAGCAUGAGUGAUCCUCUUCACCAAUAAAGAAACUGAGUUAGUGUUUUUGAUCCUUCCGAUAAAGAAUACACAAAAUCUAGAUAAUUUGACAGGGAGUUUCCUAAACAUCGAAGUAACAAUUAAUUCUAAUUUUACACAUACUCUUACAGCAUAUAGAAAAGAGAACACUCUCCCAGCAAUUAUUGUGAUGCCAGUCUAAAUUUGACCUCCAAACCAGAACAAACUCAGAAAGGAAAACGACAGGCUAGUAUCAGCACAUACAAAUGUCCCACAGGAUAUAUGUCUAUAUAUAUAUAACCACACUCCGGCAAUGAAUGAAAAAGAUAAUGUGUACAAAAUGUGGUUUUAUUUCAAGAAUACACUUAGUUUAACAGUAGAAAAAUCAGUUUAAUUCAUAGCAUUAAUGGUUUAAAAGAGGAAAACUAUGUAAAAUUUUCAGAAGACGCUUUCAAAAAAACUCCACCUAAAAAUUCAGCCUCAGUUUAUGUUAAAAACUCAGCAAACCAGAAAUUUAAAAAAGCUUUCCUAAUCUCAUACAAGGUGUCUACAAAAUGCUACUGCAAAUGUACUCUUUAAGAUCUGAGAACGAGGCAAGGUGGCCGCCAUCACCACGUUAAACUGGAUAUCGGGGGUACGUGCCAUGCAGCAUGACAAAAUGAUAAAAUAAAAUGUCUGAGAACCAAAAAAGAAAAAAACAUCAUAAUGUAAUGAUGGUAUUAUUGCUUUAUGGAAAACUCAAAAGAAACUGAUAAAUUAACAAGGUUGAUACUAUAAUUUACCAAGAUUGCUACAUGUACAAUUUGUAAUGAUACUCAAUGACACUGCUUGCUUUAUAAUCAUAAAUGUGCUUUUUAAAGAUAAUAUUUGUAAUAUUGAUCUGAGAAUAAACAACUUUAUGUGCAA